rnacentral:rRNA from 1 species
UACGGGGGGGUAAGCGUUGUUCGGAAUUACUGGGCGUAAAGGGCUCGUAGGCGGCCAACUAAGUCAUACGUGAAAUCCCUCAGCUUAACUGGGGAACUGCGUGUGAUACUGGAUGGCUUGGAUUUGGGAGGAGGGAUGCGGAAUUCCAGGUGUAGCGGUGAAAUGCGUAGAUAUCUGGAGGAACACCGGUGGCGAAGGCGGCAUCCUGGACCAAUAUUGACGCUGAGGAGCGAAAGCUAAGGGGAGCAAACGGGG